AACGCAUAUUGCGCCCAUUAGUAUUCUAACGGGCAUGCCUAUUCGAGCGUCAUUUCGACCCUUAAGCCUCUGUAGCUUAGCGUUAGGAAUCUGCGUACGGCGCAGUUCCCCAAAGGUAGUGGCAGUGUUAGGUACACACGUAGUGCAGUAAUUUCUUCUCGCUUCGGUAGUGUCACUGAACAGCUUGCCGUAAAAGCCCUUAUAUUUAUAGUGGUUGACCUCGGAUUAGGUAGGAAUACCCGCUGAACUUAA
rnacentral:misc_RNA from 1 species